GCUUUAUUUUCUAUUCCAUUCCUCCUUCCUGUAAAGAUUUAAGAAUCUUGUUUUCCUUUUGGUUACAGGGGUCCCCAACCCCUGGGCUGUGGACCAGUACCAAUCCAUGGCCUGUUACGAACCAGGCCACACAGCAGGAGGCGAGCGGCAGGCAAGCGAGCAUCACCACCUGAGCUCUGCUUCCUGCCAGGUCAGCAGCGCAUUAGAUUCUCAUAGGAGUGUGAACCCUAUUGUGAACUGCACAUUCGGGAAAUCUAGGUUGUGCGCUCCUUAUGAGAAUCUAACUAAUGAUGACUUGAGGUGGAAGUUUCAUCCCGAAACAUCCCCCCAUCCAGGCCCGUGGAAAACCGUCUUCCUUGAAACCAGUCCCUGUUGCCAAAAAGGUUGGGGAUUGCUGGUUCAGAAAGCCUUGUUUUAACAUUACAUCCACCUAUCCUUUCUAUUCAGAAGAUAUGACAGAAUUUCCAAAAAUGGUUAACCACCUGUUUCCCUCUGCUCCUACGGGAAAAAAAAAUUAAACCAGUACUGUGGUCUCUUUAAGUGGUUUAUUUCUGAGAGGAACCUUCAAAUGUGAGCACGAGAUAAUUUUUUCCCCUCCAAAUCCUAGGCAUUUUAGUUCAUUUAAAAUGGGUUUAUGUAAUACCUGCAAAUGGAACGCAAACAUACCAUUUUUUUCUUUCUUCUCUCAGCCACAUGAAGAAUUUUGUUUUUGAACAUGGUAAAAUAUUCUUCGGCUAUUAAUUUCCUGUACAUACUUCAUACUUACUGUUUAUAUUUUGGGUUUAUAUAUAUAUAUUUUUAGAGACACUGCACUGUAGAUAGACUCGCUGUGUUACCGAGUCUGGAAUGCGGUGGUGUGAUCAUAGCUCAGUGCAGCCUCAAACUCCUGGGCUCAAGCAAUCCUACUGCCUCAGCCUCCUGAGUAGCUGGAACCACAGGGACAUGCCAUCACGCCCAGGCAAGACUCUACAAACUACAGCCUGUGGAAUAAAUGAGGCCUAUUAUUAAAUGGCUAAAAACAAAAAUCGAGUAUUUUGUAUUCUUGACAUGGGAAAAUUUUAUGAAAUUCAAAUUUUAGUGUCCAUAAAGUUUUAUUGGAACAUAGAAUAUGUAAUAUGUUCAUUGGUUUAUGUAUUUGUCUGAAUGCCUACAUUUGAUAUGUGAAACUAUGAAAUAUUCAUACAUAUAAAAGGCAGGUCAAAAAUAUAACUAUAAAAAAUUUAUAAGUAAUUUACUUUUAGCCUUUUGGAGAAUUUAUUUAACAACUAACACAUGGCUACCACUACAAUUUUUUUUUAUUUUUUUGAGUCAAAAGUUACUCUAUUGCCCAGGCUGGAGUGCAGUGAACGGUGUGAUUGUGGCUCACUGUAACCUCAAACUCCUGGGCUCAGAUAAUCCUCCUGCCUCAGCCUCACAAGUAGCUGAGACUACAGGCAUGUGCCACCACACCCAGCUAAGUUUAAAUUUUUUUUUUUUUUUU